CAGAGAAGGGACAGAGGAGGCUAGGUCCGCCAGCUGUUGGACAUGCUGGUGCAAACCCGUAGCCCGUUUCUAUAGGAGGCUUCGUGCCACAAACGUAGAAACAUUGGGUGAGAGGUGAUGCAGAGCUGGGCGUAUCCGUCCGGCUGAAUCAAUGGAUUGACGCCAUGCUCUCGAGAAAAGCUUCGCUGUGGAGUUAUAUGAGGUGCCCGUACCAAAACCGACACAGGUAGGUAGGUGGAGCACACCAAGGCGCGUGAGACAACCCUGGUUAAGGAACUCGGCAAAUUGACACCGUAACUUCGGGAGAAGGUGUGCCACCAAGGUCAAACCCUUUACGGGCGUAGCCAGCGGUGGUUGCAGAGAAGAGGGGGUAGCGACUGUUUACCAAAAACACAGGGCUCUGCGAAGUCGCGAGACGACGUAUAGGGCCUGACGCCUGCCCGGUGCCGGAAGGUUAAAAGGAAUGGUUAGCGCAAGCGAAGCUGUGAAUUGAAGCCCCGGUAAACGGCGGCCGUAACUAUAACGGUCCUAAGGUAGCGAAAUUCCUUGUCGGGUAAGUUCCGACCUGCACGAAUGGUGCAACGAUCUGGACACUGUCUCAGCCAUGAGCUCGGUGAAAUUGUAGUAUCGGUGAAGAUGCCGAUUACCCGCAGCGGGACGAAAAGACCCCGUGAACCUUUACUAUAGCUUAGUAUUGGCUUUGGAUAAGUAAUGUGUAGGAUAGGUGGGAGACUAUGAAGUGGCGUCGCUAGGCGUUGUGGAGUCGUCCUUGAAAUACCACCCUUUGCUUGUCUAGAGCCUAACUCAGAAAUGAGGACAGUGCUUGGUGGGUAGUUUGACUGGGGUGGUCGCCUCCAAAAGAGUAACGGAGGCUUCUAAAGGUUCCCUCAGCACGCUUGGUAACCGUGCGUAGAGUGCAAUGGCAUAAGGGAGCUUGACUGAGAGACAUACAGGUCGAUCAGGUACGAAAGUAGAGCAUAGUGAUCCGGUGGUUCCGCAUGGAAGGGCCAUCGCUCAAAGGAUAAAAGGUAC
rnacentral:rRNA from 1 species